ACGCAAAGCCCGGAGGCGCGCGCGACCGGCGGCUCUUUGGCGCGGAUUAGGGGGUCUCGGCGAGGGAGUCAUCAAGCUUUGGUGUAUGUGUUGGCCGGUUCUGAAGUCUUGAAGAAGCUCUGCUGAGGAAGACCAAAGCAGCACUCGUUGCCAAUUAGGGAAUGGACCGUUUGGGUUCCUUUAGCAAUGAUCCCUCUGAUAAGCCACCUUGCCGAGGCUGCUCCUCCUACCUCAUGGAGCCUUAUAUCAAGUGUGCUGAAUGUGGGCCACCUCCUUUUUUCCUCUGCUUGCAGUGUUUCACUCGAGGCUUUGAGUACAAGAAACAUCAAAGCGAUCAUACUUAUGAAAUAAUGACUUCAGAUUUUCCUGUCCUUGAUCCCAGCUGGACUGCUCAAGAAGAAAUGGCCCUUUUAGAAGCUGUGAUGGACUGUGGCUUUGGAAAUUGGUAAGAGCUUGGUGUUAAGAGUUGUCCUGCCCUAGUGGACUCAGAGAAGAAGCUGUUGUUGAAGAGUAAAGGAAGGAACCUCAGGAAGAGAAAGUAUGUGUUGCUUUCCUAUCAACCCAUGAUUUAGAGGCAAGUUAGUCCCCUCUGUACAUUAUUUUUCCAGUGUCGAAAUGUGUCACGAGGAUAUGGGAUGUUUAGCGGUCCAUGACUGAGCAGCUUUAAAAGGCCACUUUGGAUGUAUCAA
rnacentral:lncRNA from 1 species